rnacentral:rRNA from 1 species
UACGUAGGGUGCAAGCGUUAUCCGGAAUCACUGGGCGUAAAGCGUGCGUAGGUGGCGCGUUAAGUGAGAUGUUAAAUCGUGUGGCUCAACCAUAUCGAUGCAUCUCAUACUGGCGUGCUAGGGGACAGCAGAGGCAAGUGGAAUUGGUAGUGUAGCAGUGAAAUGCGUAGAUAUUACCAGGAACACCAAUGGCGAAGGCAGCUUGCUGGGCUACUCCUGACACUGAGGUACGAAAGCGUGGGGAGCGAACAGG